rnacentral:lncRNA from 1 species
GAAGGACUUCCGGUGGCUUCCAAGGCGACUCCGUAGUGGAUGCAGCGCCGGACGCCACAGCCGAAAAACAGAAUCUUGGAACUGGUUUAGUACAAUCCAGGUCGAGUUCCUUGUUUUUUAUCCGAGUGGCCGGCAGGCCCAUGUGCUGUCUUGUUUUUAACACAUCAGCUCUUGCCGGAAGCCGCUAAGAGAUAAAAUAGGAAGUCCCACCCUUCCCUUAGAGAAGGAAAACGGAGAGCCGAAGGAGUCAAUCUAAAUUCGAUGAGCGCGUCGGGCUCCAAGGCAGGCGCUGUCAGCCCGGGAGGGCUGUCUGGGAUUUCUAGAGGGUCCCAGAACGGGUUCUUCCCAGGCCGAUCCCGCCUGCUUCCUGCCCCGUCUCUCCACCCGCCUCCCGCCCUCUGUAAGGGACCCCGAGGGCGGCGCCGGAAACACGGAGAAGGCCCAGAACGGCGCGGGACCCGAGAGGCCUACGUUGGCAAACGCAGCCCGCUGCCCCUUUGCUCGCUUCCCCCGGGCCUGGAGUGGCUCCUGUCGCUUCUGGCGCUCCGAUUUCGAGAAAUGACUUUCAGCUGUGCAAGGCGAGAAUGCUACUUUAGAUGAUGAGAAAAAAUCUCUCGAAUGGCUCCCAAAAUGAGGUCCUUGUUUAAGAGGCCACAGGAAGCCGCUAGCCGAACUCUGAUACCAAAGAGGAGGCCAAGAAGCGGACUGUGGCUUGGUGACCUGUUUGGUAUUGCCAAAUUUUCAGCUUUUAUUAAAGCUGAAACACCUUGGCUGUUUAAAACGUUCGACAAGGACUUUUUUAUGAACGUUAACGGCACAGCAUACGGGUUUUUUGGAAAAAAAAAAAGGCAGGACUUCAGCCCGUCCGCCCCCUUGUGCAGGUCCAUUCAUGAACCUCGAGUUAGAGGCCUUUCUUCUGAAACUCAGAAUCUAGUAGGGAAGACCUGUGUAGACGAAUAAAAAUAAAUACAUCACAGCUUGUUAAGUGCUGUGACAAAGAGGCAGUGAAAUCCUGCUUGAGGUCAUCUGCCUUGCUAAAGAGGUUUGACUAUGUUGUAGGCACAGGGUUAGGGUUAGACUCUGUAAUGGGAAGUUAUGUGAUCAGAUUUCUGUUUAGGAAGAUCACUGGCCAGGCGGGGUGGCUUACGCCUGUAAUCCCAAUACUUUGGGAGGCCGAGUCGGUGGAUUGCUUGAGGCUAGGAUUUUGAGACCAGCCUGGGGAAACCGCGUCUCUACUAAAAAUUUGAAAUUAGCCAGGCAUGGUGGUGCGAGCCUGUAAUUCCAGCUACUUGGAGGCUGAGGCGGGAGAAUAGCUUGAACCCAGUGGCGGAGGCUGCAGUGAGCCGAGAUUGCGCCACUGCACUCCAGCCUGGGCGACAGAGCGAGAUUCCGUCUCAAAAAAAUCAUUGCCAACGAGUGGAUAAAGAAAAUGUGAUAUAUAUGCACUAUGGAAUACUAAGCCAUAAGAAGGAAUGAAAUAAUGGCAUUUGCAGCAACCUAGAUGGAGUUGGAGACCAUUAUUCUAAGUGAAGUAACUCAAGAAUGGAAAACCAAAUAUUGUAUGUUCUCACUCGUAAGUGGGAGCUAAGCUGCGAAGAUGCAAAGGCAUAAGAAUGAUAUAGUGGACUUUGAGGACUCAAGGGUUGAAGGAUGAGACUACACAUUGGGUACAGUGUGCACUGCUUGGGUGAUGAGUGCACCAAAAUCUCAGAACUCACCACUGAAGAACUUCCCCAUGUAACCAAAAACCACCUGUUCCACAGAAACUAUCGAAAUAACAUUUUUAAAACUUUACUAUUUCUGAAUAAAAUUUACAUACAUUUCUCAGAAAAAAAAAUAUUUGGAAUUGAGGUAUCUAAUAGAGAACUGAGUUAAAUUAUUGCCACUUAAAAACACAAAGUGAUAUAGCCACUUUAUGAAUUAAUCAGUCAGCAGUGGCUAGGUUAUGCUUAGUGGUUUAUAACCAAAUCUUAGUUUAUAACAACAAAUGUGUAUUGUUAAUUCCCACUACAAGUUUAUAACGACAUUGCUGGAUGCUACACUCCAUGUCUCUUUGUGGGACCCAGGCUCAUGGGACUUCUGUUACCUGCAUUAGAGAGAGAGAAGACAACAAAAUAUGCACUGGUUCUUGAAGCUUUGGCCCAGAAGUAAAAUAUGUCUUUUACCUGUUCACAUUGCAUUGGGCCAGGGCAAUUAUCAUGGCUGCAAGUAACUUCAAAAGGAUGGGGAAGUGCGAUCUUGGCAUGUGUCAGAAGAAAUGAAAACAUUUGGUGAAGAGCAUUAAUGACUGUCUUUACAGGAAAAAAGCAAUCAAAUAGACAUGAUUGCUUGUUUCAGUUUCAUCAUUUCCUACUGUGUUACCUAAACUUUCUGAGCCCCAGUUUCUUAUUACUAAAAUAAAAUAAAGAUGAUAUUCACUUCAAGGACUUUGUGUUAACUAGGGUAAAAAAAUUGAAAACUAGUAAGUUAUGCAAAUUAGAAAUGUAUAAUAUUACUGCUUUGAAAGUGAUGGUGAAAUGUAGAAUAAUUGGAAGGAUAACACAAAGCACUUAUACCAGGAGGCUUUUAGCUGCAGAUAAUAGAAAUGAACCUCCACUACUUUAAUCAAUAAAAAAGUGUAUCAGCUCACAAAUUUGUCAUCCAGACAUAAAGGAGGCUUCAGAAUUUAUUGACUCAGGAGUUGAAUGUUGGUAUCAAGGACCUAGAUUUUUCUCAUCACUCUGCACUUCAAUUCUCAAUGCCCUAUUGAACAUCAGGCUGUAGUAAGAUGGCUAGAGUGAUUCCAGGGAUAACAUCUAGAGAUAAAAAAGAGAACUCCUUUUCUUAUGAUUUUUUUCUUAAGAGAAAAGGAAUUUCCCAAAAGCCCCCAGCAAGCAUGCCUUCACAUCCCAUGGCCAGAAGUGGCUCACAUGUGUACCCUGAGCUAAGCACUGCAGACAGGAAUGGAAUCGCCUGUAGGCCUCAGAGACCACCUGGAUCUUGGGAAGGUGUCAGCUCUACCUGUGGCACUUGGCUGAGUGGGAAAGGGAUGGAAACAUGAAUAAAGUAAGAAUUAGGAAGGAAAAGGAGAAAUGGAUCCAGGGUAUGAAGCCAAUAGUUUAGUUAUCUCAACAAAUAUGAUUGAUUUCAUCUUUAUGAAUGUGAUGACCUAAUUUAAUACAUUCAAUCAAUGAAGUAAAAAAAAGUGCAAGGACAAUAUGACAUCUGUCAUUCUCUGUUGAGAUUUGAGAGGUAAUAAUACCAAGAACGUGUGGUGACCUGGGUCCUCACUGCUACUGUCUUCCUGUACCUGGACACUUCUAGCAAGAGACUUCAACUUCAGAACAAAGAGGAUCCCAACUUGUAGCUGCAUUAUACACACCCCAGCAGCACACAUAAGUUGAUUUCUAAUUAUUCCUCUUUAAGAAAUUGUUUGUGGAAUAUUUAUCUAUUUAUAAAUGGAAAAAUAGAAAAUUAAAAUAACAAAAAUAAGUAAC